CAGAAACGAUACAGAGAAGAUUAGCAUGGCCCCUGCACUAAGGAUGACACGCUCAGUAGGUCCCAAGACUCUU
rnacentral:snRNA from 1 species